CGCGCCGCGCUCCGCCCCACAUGCAGGUAUUGAAAGGGCGACUCCGCUAGGACAGCUACACUGCUGCUGCGGCCUGCGACUCCACCACGACCACGCCCGCCCUGCAGCACGACCACCAGCUCUGUCUGUCUGUUUGCCUGUCACCGCAGAGAUCAUCGACACCAGCCGCGAUGAGGACUGCGCUUAUAGUAGGACUACUGACACUGCUGGCUCUGGACGUCUGUCAAUCCGAACUUAGAACAUGCACUCAGAUCGGCCCCUGUCUUGAUGGCCCCAACCCGGGGGAAUGCGUUUCUAGUGCUGAUGUGUGCGACGGUGGAAAUGAAUACAUAACAGAUGAUGACUGUGGUUUAUGCACGUGUUGCAAGACCUGUGAGCCAGACGAUUCGUGUGCCUGUAAGAAUGGGAUAUGCGUCAACCCAACUCACGUAUCUGGACUGACAUACUUUCCUCACGAUCUAUGUCCCGAGGGAUAUCGUCAUUUUAUGGAAGGCAAUUGCGGCACUGAUGACUACAUCUGCUGUGUUCUAAGGCCCUGACCGAGGACUGACCCUGCCCUGACCUGCCCUUGACCUGACCCGCCUCACCUUCAUGCACGUACUUCCUGCACGUGCGCCGUGCACGCUGAUCCUCUGCAGAGUAUUCAAUUAUCCUUCUUCUUGGGCUUGAUGCCAGAGCACCCUUCUGCAAAGAAAAAAAAAAAUGCACAAACGUAAAUAGAGAGAUUACAUAAAACUUAACAUUUCAGCAGACAUGAAUUGUGACUUUCCAAAUUCUAUGUAUGUUCAGCUCGCAAUAUGUGUGUACCAGCUGUUCAGAAUUAUGCUGCAAAUAAAAUAGAAACAAUC